rnacentral:rRNA from 1 species
CAGUAGCCACGGUAAUACGUAGGUGGCAAGCGUUGUCCGGAGUUAUUGGGCGUAAAGGGCUCGCAGGCGGUUUCUUAAGUCUGAUGUGAAAGCCCCCGGCUCAACCGGGGAGGGUCAUUGGAAACUGGGAAACUUGAGUGCAGAAGAGGAGAGUGGAAUUCCACGUGUAGCGGUGAAAUGCGUAGAGAUGUGGAGGAACACCAGUGGCGAAGGCGACUCUCUGGUCUGUAACUGACGCUGAGGAGCGAAAGCGUGGGGAGCGAACAGGAUUAGAUACCCCCGUAGUCCCUGUCUCUUAUAC